rnacentral:rRNA from 1 species
GAUGAACGCUGGCGGCGUGCCUAAUACAUGCAAGUCGAGCGAACAGACGAGGAGCUUGCUCCUCUGACGUUAGCGGCGGACGGGUGAGUAACACGUGGAUAACCUACCUAUAAGACUGGGAUAACUUCGGGAAACCGGAGCUAAUACCGGAUAAUAUAUUGAACCGCAUGGUUCAUUAGUGAAAGACGGUUUUGCUGUCACUUAUAGAUGGAUCCGCGCCGCAUUAGCUAGUUGGUAAGGUAACGGCUUACCAAGGCAACGAUGCGUAGCCGACGUGAGAGGAUGAUCGGCCGCACUGGAACUGAGACACGGUCCAGGGUCCUACGGGAGGCAGCAGUAGGGAAUCGGCCGCAAUGGGCGAAAGCCUGACGGAGCGACGCCGCGUGAGUGAUGAAGGUCUUCGGAUCGUGAAACUCUGUUAUUAGGGAAGAACAAAUGUGUAAGCAACUAUGCACGUCUUGACGGUACCUAAUCAGAAAGCCACGGCUAACUACGUG